rnacentral:rRNA from 1 species
CCUACGGGAGGCAGCAGUGAGGAAUAUUGGUCAAUGGUCGGGAGACUGAACCAGCCAAGCCGCGUGAGGGAUGAAGGUACAGAGUAUCGUAAACCUCUUUUGUCAGGGAACAAAGGCGGGGACGUGUCCCCGGAUGAGUGUACCUGAAGAAAAAGCAUCGGCUAAUUCCGUGCCAGCAGCCGCGGUAAUACGGAGGAUGCGAGCGUUAUCCGGAUUUAUUGGGUUUAAAGGGUGCGCAGGCGGUCUGUUAAGUCAGAGGUAAAAGCCCGGGGCUCAACCCCGGCCCGCCGUUGAAACUGGCAGUCUCGAGUUGGAGAGAAGUAUGCGGAAUGCGCGGUGUAGCGGUGAAAUGCAUAGAUAUCGCGCAGAACUCCGAUUGCGAAGGCAGCAUGCCGGCUCCACACUGACGCUGAGGCACGAAAGCGUGGGUAUCGAACAGGAUUAGAUACCCUUGUAGUC